GGAAGUGCCCGGCGCAGGGCGGAAGCAGAGGCGUUGGCGGCGUGAGGCUCAGGACUGUACAUCAGAGGAAGCCAAAAGCCAGCUGGAAUACUUCCUGAAUACAGUUUUAAUCUUGUUUGCAAUUAUUUCGAAGGGGAGAAAUCAUCUGGAUCAGAAUUAAGAUGCUCUGGUUUCAAGGAAAUAGCAUGCAACUUGCCAGAUCCUCCUUUGGACUCUUCUUGAGAAAUUGCUCUGCCUCUAAGACAACUCUGCCUGUGUUGACCUUAUUCACAAAGGACCCAUGCCCCCUUUGUGAUGAAGCCAAGGAAGUACUCAAGCCUUAUGAAAACAGGUUCAUUUUACAGGAGGUGAACAUCACACUUCCAGAAAACUCUGUCUGGUAUGAAAGGUAUAAAUUUGAUAUUCCUGUCUUUCACUUGAAUGGCCAGUUUCUGAUGAUGCAUCGAGUAAACACCUCAAAACUUGAAAAACAGCUCCUGAAACUUGAGCAGCAAAGUACUGGAGGCUGACUGAUGCCCUCAUGAUUUUCCACCCUCUCUUCCCAUAAAGCAUCUUCCUAAGGAAAUGACCAUGGCCUGAUACUCAUUUUGUCACUUGUACAGAGCCCUAAGGAUGUUCUGAAUUCAGUGGUGCCAAAUAAAUGUUGACAUUCCCCUUUUGGUUGAUGGAAGUAUCAGUGUGGGAACUGUUUGCUUAAUGGCAUUUUAUAAAAUAAGAAGAGCAUAUUAGCAGGGAGGGAGAUGAUGGAGGGAGGGAGAAGUCCAUUUGUCUUAUUUAUCCUUUUUGUAUUAAUAGAGAAGCACUUCACAGUCACUGGGCAAUGCCAUUUAUAGGAAGAAGGUUCUGCAUUCCUGCUGCUGCCCCGGAGGGCUUAACUUUUUAAUGAAAGAAUAAAUGCUCUUCCACUCAGUAGAUAAAGUGAAAUGUGAAUUGUUAAUAACUGUGCACGGUCAAUAAAGCGAUGUUUUAAGGAAUACAUCUGCAUGAAGCCUAUUCAGUGGGAUUUAAUAAUACCUGUUUAAAAUUAGAGUUCAUUUUUGUUGAGUAGAAGAGAAUUAUUAUCCUAGCCAAAGAGGCAUCAUUUGAGAAAAACAAAAGAAAAACUUAAACUCCUUAAAUGUAUAUAAAAAUCUCAACAUUCUCUACACAGUCAUUGAAUUCAUUUGUAGUAUUUGAGGACUGCCUUUCAUAGUUAUUCAGUUACCAUCAAUUGAGUUAAUUCAACUUAUUUUAAGACAGUAGGUUUUUUUAAGUCAAAUUUUAAUAUCUUGGAAAAAGUCACUCCUAAAUAUGUCAUCUAAAGAUAAAAUACUCUUUGCCAUUCUAUGUAAAGUGUUAGAAAUGUAUUUGCGUACCCUUAUUUAUAUUUAGUCAGAUUAAGCCAGUGUAGAAAUGGAUUCACUUGAAAACAAAACUGUCUUUCCUCUUAAAAUCUUACCACUGCAAUUCCAUGUAUAAUGAAAUUAUUUUUUAAACUAUUUGAAUGAAUUUGGAUAUUGUGAGUCACUAGAUUUUAAUUUGAUCAGGAUGAUUCAGUCUUAGUGUAGAAUAUUAGAGCUAGCUGACCUUAGACAUUGUCUAGUCCCACUCCCAUUUUAUAUAUGAGGAGAAAUCUGAAAUUCAGAGAAUAUCAGGGACGUAACCCAAGGUCACACAGCCAGUCAGUUGGCAGGCCAGGUCUUGCCCCACAGCCCCAGAUUUCCAGUACUCUCUGGACUCAUUGCAGGGGGCUCCUGUUAUCUCACAUACAGCAUCCCCAACCAUUUUGGAUCCAACACAAAUCUGGAAUCAACUUAAAAAGCCUUUUAAGCUGAGUACAGUGGUACAUGCCUAUAGUCCCAGCUACUUGAGAGGCUGAGGCAGAAGAGCCCAGAAGUUUGAGUCCAGCCUGAGCAACAUAGUGAGACUGUGUCUCUUAAAAAAAAAAAAUAAAAGAGAAAAGAACAAAAUCUUAGCAAUUGAAUAGCAGUGUUUAUCAUUUACAAAUUUCUGGAACAUUUAUUUGACAUAAAUAUUGAGCCCUGGGGUGGGCAGAAUUCUAGGAUAACCCCAGUGAUCCCCACUCUUGGAUAAUUCCCUGUCCCUUUGAGUGUGGGUGGAAAUAUCACUGCUGUGAUUAUGUUACAUUAUAUGGCAAAAGGGAAAUUAUCCUGGCUGGGCCUGACGUAACUGGGUGAGCCCUUUAAAAGCAGAGAAUUCUCUCUGGUUAGUUAUAAAGAGGAAAGUAGAGAGAUGUGCUCUAGCAAGCCUGGAAGAAAGCAAGCAUCAUGUGAAUUGCCUAGUGGAACCACAUGGCAAGAAACUGGGUAGCCUCUGGGAACUGAGUAAUUCUCGGCCAAAAACUAGCAGGAAGAUAGGGACAUCAGUCCUAUAGCUUCAAGGAAAUGAAUUCUGCCAAUAAUCAGUAAGCUUAGAAGAGGAUCCCCAACGACAGAUGAGAACUGCAGCCUUGACCAACAUCUUGAUUUCAGCUCAGUGAGACUCUAAUCCAAGAAUCCAGCCACACCAAGCAUAGACUUCUGGUUUACAGAAACUGAAAGACAAUAAAUAUGUCUUGUUUUAAACUGCUAAAUGUAUGAUAAUUUGUUACAUAGCAGUAGAGAAUGAAUACAAGUCCUUACAGCAUUGAAGCACCGUAGUAGGUGAUGGGAGUACAGAAAUGAAUAAAUCAUAGUCCUUGUCUUUGAGAUACUCACUAUCUAUUAAGGAGCAAGGAGAGACAAGUGAAUAAAGCACAGCAUAGUGCAAUGAGGGCUGGAACUGACACAUGUCAAAUGGUACCAGGUGGGAAAAGUAGCAGGAAUGAUUCACAGAAAAUUAGACUUAAGCUAGGUCUUGAUGGCUGAAUAGAAGCAAUGGAUGGGGAUUGGGAGUAAGGAGGGUAUUCUACAAGGGAACAGUAUAUGUAAAAUAUGAGGGUGUGGAAGGACACAGCAUAUUCAGGAAAUGCUAGGUGGCUUUGUGUGGCUGGAGUAAAGGGGAGGAGAGUGAAGGAGAUGAGACUGGCAAGGUAGAUUGGGAUCCAUAUUGUGAAGGCCUUAGCUAAUGUGCUUUUGGCCCAGCAUCAGUAGCCUCCCAUGCUUCCUGCCUUUAUCCAUAGUCAGUCCUUCUGACUCCUGACUACUCAGGGGUGUCUGGCCUCCCUACCCCAGCCUGUUGCAGUCCUUCUUCCUGUCCUUAAGCAUGCUGAGCUCAACAGUCCCUUCUAGUAGUCCUGUAGGACAAUCCCACUCUCAAUACAACCAGGGAUGCCACAGACAAAGUCCUCCACUUGUGUGUCUGGGUGUCCUGUGUUCAUUCCUGCCUUCUCCAGGCAGGGUGAGAAUUGUGUAGCCCCUAGGACCCAGGUUGCUGAUUCUUCUCCUAGACCACCAGUUGGAAAGGUUCCAAGAGUUUCUUUCAGUGUCUGCUCAACUAAGAUGGAGAAAAUCCAUUGGUUCCCUUCAAAAAGCAUGGCUGGCCAGAAAGCCUAGAGACGUUUGUUCUCUUGGAGCACUUCUUACCUGAGUAUAACCAUGUGGUUAUAGUGUGCAGGAAGUGCAGAGACUAAAGGUGAAACAGUAUUUCAGCAACAAAUUUCUGACACUAGAAUUUCAAACAAGAAUCCCAUGAUAUAGGAUGCUCAAACUAAAGUACUGGCUAAGGCACUAAGAAACAAUAGAUGCUACAUUUCAAGGAAAUACUAGAUCAUGUGGAGGAUUAUUAUAGACCUGGGAGAGAGGAUCUUUGGAGGAGUUUUUUAAAAAUAAGAUGUCCUCUCACUAAUUUUCUACCAAAGUAGAAAGGUUGGGAGUCACUUCAUAUCAAGAGGGAGGGGCAUAAGUUGGACUCACUGGAAAGCGAAUGUAUGUCCUUGGGUAAGAAGAACAUAGCGGUCUAACUCUCCUGGGAAAUCAGGCAAGAGAUAGUUUAGCAAGCAGAUUUGGCUGUACAGUGAAGGCAGCUGAUGCUGUUUCUCUGAGUUUGUCCCAGGGAAGUAAAGUAAGUUUGUGUGUGUGUGUGUGUGUGUGUGUGUGUGUGUGUGUGUGUGUGUCCUCAUGGACCAAAUAUGAACCAAAUGUGAGAGGGGACUGGUAUGAGGGCACCUUCGUUGCAGGCAGGCCUCAGAAGGGGAUACCCAGAGGGAAACACUGGGUUCCGAGGGGCUGAGGGGUCUGCUCGAAUGGAGAGCCCAUUUGCCCAAAUCAGGGAACUGCAGGCAAGACAUCGCCAGUAAUUGGUACAGUCUCCCAAUAACCUGCACAGCCUGUACCAAGUGUGGUCUGCUUUAACUGUUUAUUGGGUCCAGAAAGUAGGCCAGUAUACAACUCCACCACUGAAAUAAGAACAUUCUCACCCCUCUCCACUUUUUCUUUCUCCCAUAGCAACCCUACAAGGAUCAGAAGCUGCCAGGAACAAGGAGAAGACGCUCCCCUUCCUCACCUUCCCACCCCCACAUGGCUUCUCAGUCGGGGAAAAGAUACAACUUAACUUUAAACCAAGUCUUAAGUUUUGAUUAUGACAUGGGAUUAGAUGCACCAAAAACAAUUUCAAGUGACUGUGGGGCAUUCUAUUGCCUGAGAAUGUUCAAGAGUCCUGAUAUGACCUGUUGUUUUUAUCCUAAACAGUGAAAAAUUCAUCCACCAAAUAUAUAGGAAUAGAGGGAGACAGAAAGAUGCUUUCUGAAGAGAGGAAUAUGGUCAUGUGACUAGGAAUCCUGCAGAUCUUCAGCAAACCCAUGGGUCCCAACAGCUGGCAAAAUGAAAGGUAGAUACCUACAAACAUGGCAUCUAAAAGGUGGUUUGAUUAUCCCACUGUCAAGUAUCAGUGUUAUGUCACCUAUUACUGUGAUUUUCAUGUGAUGUUUGUAGCAGCAAUUACUUUUCCUUUCUGAAAUUAUGUUUGCAAAGAUCAAUUUGUUUUUAUAUAAAGAUUAACUUUGAUAUAAGAAGCUCAUCAUUCACCUCCAAAGGAAAAGGUGAUACAAGCUUCCUUUUUUUCCCCCUUCAAGCUAAUGCCUUAUGAAGGAGUGGAAUAGUUUGGGACUUCAUAUUGCUGCUCUAGAAUAGUGCCUCUUUCUUCCACAUGUCUCUUCAUAACAUUAUGAGCUUACUGGAACACAUAGCUCUUUGGCCAGUUUAUUGCACGAAACAAGGGUAUACUCAGACUGGGGUUUUUUAAAUAAUGCAGCAAUCUCAUGGACAUCUGACAGUAGGAAUCACAAUACAGCCAGGCUUCAGAAGUACAAUUAAAGAACCACCCAAAACUGAAACAUCACCCUUCUCACAGUGCCUUGGCUUAUUUUCUUCCUUGUUCUCUCCUGGCUCACAGCUCCCCUGCUUACACACACUAUCUGCUUCCUCAUAGCUGCAGCCUGCUUAUGCCCAUCAUUACUGCUAACCUUUCUGUUCAGCAAUACAGCACCCUGAGCCUCUCAGGCUUCUCUAUUCUGAAAUCCUAAAAGGAAUUUUACUCAGCUUAUAUUUUACAACCAGGCACCCAUGACCUAAGUUGGCUGACCAAAUCUAUAGAAGGAGCCACCUUUAGGACAGAAGCCUAUCCCUGGGCCAACUGGCUAUGGAAGCGGUAUGCAAAUCACAGUCACUGCCCACUGGCAGAGGCCAGAAGCAGGACAGGCAAUGACCAGCAACUCUGGCACGCCUCCAAAAAGCUUAAGAAUGUGACAUUCUACCAUACUCAAGAGAAGUCAGGAGGGACACAUUGGUAAGUUCACUUAUAUCCUACUCCAUAGGAGUAAUAAGGACAUGAACCAAAGCAAUGGGAGUCAGACAGAAAGAGAUAUCAGGAGAUAUUUAGGAGUGAGGUUGACAAAACUUCAUGACUGACUGGAUGGGUCGGUAGUGAUGUGGAGAGGGGAGUAGAGAGAAAGCAUGGAUUCUGGGAUAACUCCCAGUUUUCUUGCUUACACUACUGGGUGAAUUCUGAUACUUUUUAUUCCCUGAGGCAGAGAAUGUAAGAGGAAGGAAAAGUUAGUUUUGGGCUGUGCUUGGUGGAUGGGAAAGGUAAGACAUGGUGAAUUCUCCAUGCUUGUGGGAUAUCAAGGUAAAGAUAAAAGUUAGAAGUGCAAAACAAAGGUCUGGGGUUAAGGUAUACAUUUGAGAGCCCACUGAGUAUGGUUGGAAAUGUGGCCACCUGGCAUAUAAGGAGAAAAGCAAGCUAUUCCCAAACCAUGGAGAAUACUAAUCUUGACCCAUGAGAAUAGAGGAAGUUGCUAGUGAAGGAAAAUGAGAGAGUGGUGGUGGAACUAGGAAUGGGAGAAGCUCAUCCAAUUUACAUUACGUGAUGCCUUUUGUGAUUUGAUAGUGGCAGGUAUUAUUCCAAGCACUGGGGAUAAAACAACAAACAAGAUAGCCAGGAUUCCUACUCUCAGAGUCUUGCAUUUUAAGGGAGAGACAGACAAUAAAGAUAUCGUAUCAGAGGAAAAUAAUCAUGAAAGUCAGGGAGGAGCUUUUCCCAGAGUAACUGACAGUAUCAAAUAGCAAGAGAGUUAGGAUGAGGACUGAACAGAAGACAUCAGAUUUGAAAAUUAGAAAAUCAGUGCUGCUAUAGGAAGAAUAGUCCCCAAAGAUACCCAGGUCCUAAUUCCUGGAACCUGUCACUUAUAUGCAUAAAGGACUUUGCAGAUUUAAGUUAAGGAUCUUGAGAUGGGAAAAUUAUAUUGCAUUAUCUAAGCAGGUCCUAAUGUAAUCACAGGUGUCUCUAUAAGAGGGAGUCAGAAGGAGAUUUGACUAGGGUAAAGAGAGUAGGAAAUUCGACAAUGGAAGCAAAAGGUUGGAGUGAUACAAGAAAGCAGCCAUGAGCCAAGGAAUGUGAAUGGCCUCCAGAAGCUAAGAAAAGAAAAAGAAAACAGAUUAUCCCCUAUAGCCUCCCGAAGGAGCAAGCCCUGCUGACACGUUUACUUUAGUUCUGUGAAACUGAUUUCUGACUUCUGGCCUAUAGAACUAUGAGAGAAUAAAUUUGUGUUGUUUUAAGCCAAGUUUGUGAUAAUUUGGUACAGCAGCAAUAGAAAAUGAAUACAAAUGUUUCCUUGACCUUAUUGAGAACAACUUUUGUGGAGAGGGAAGAGGUAAACUAAAAGAAAAUUGUGGUGGGAUGAUAACUGAAAGAUACAGAAAAGACAGCAAAGUAUCCAUUUUUUAGGAAGUUUUUAUAUAUCUCAUUUGACCCACUAAGAAACGACAUCCAGAAAGGAGCUAAAGACCAGAGGUAAUUGAUUAGCUCAGCACCCAAAAAUGGCAGGCAGUGUUGGGGCAGUACUAGAAUGAGGUAGCCGGCCGGGCACGGUGGCUCAUGCCUGUAAUGCCAGCUCUCAGGGAGGCAAGAGGUGGGAGUAUAGCUUGAGCCCAGGAGUUCGAGACCUGCCUGGGCAAUAUAGCAAGACCCCGUUCUCCAGAAAAAGGAAAAAAAAAAAAAAAAAAGCAUAGAAUGAGGUAGCCAUAACAUUCUACCUGGCUUUUGGCUGAAUUGUGGGGAGGAGAGUUCAGAGGCCUCAAAAGUGACCCUGACACUGGAGAGUAAACCAUAGUAACCCAUUAUAGUCCACAGAUAUGCGCACCAGACCCAUGACUCUUGUUCACCAUAGAGACAGGAUACUUUGAUGCUGUGACCCAAAAUCCUGCACCUGGAACAGAUUUGGUACCUCUCUAUUGACACAGAAAUUCAUGUUGAGCAUGGAGACAUAAUCAAGAGAGAAUGGCCUCAUUCGAUCGGUCUUCAGCUUAGGCACUGACAUUUUGCAUUUUACCUCCUCUCUCAGGUUCAAAGAUGACUACCAAAGCUAAACCUCUGAAUUCUAAAGUCUACAAGGACAUAAAGCUUCAGGGAAAGGGGAAAUAUUAAUAUUAAUAUUAAUGUCAUACAAAAGAGGAGAAGCAGCACAUAGGAGUGCCAGCUAAUAGACUAGUAGUAAUAAGAAGAAUCCAACCAUAGGCCUAUAUUGAGAGUCAUGGGCAUCCCUUCUUUAUGCUGAAAUGGUAUAUUUGAACGGAAUUCCUGAUGGAAAACUUUCUAUCCUUAGAAAUACUGUAGGCCAAAUAUUAAUUGGAACUUUUGUUAAUGAUUUGAGAACACCAAAAAGUUUAGAUGAUACAAGUUAAAGGCAAAUUGAGCCCAUGGCCUCAUUGUGCUACUUAGAAUACCCUGUGACCCAGCUCUCCUCAGAAACCCUGAUGGCUUUGUUGCAGCAUUGCAUUGCACAGAAGACCUCAGUGGUGGUCCUGAGUCCUCACAACAAGGUCAACCCGUGGCCUGGCCACUAAGGCAACAGAGAGGGAAAUAAAUUUUAGAAAACGCUUCCCUUAAAAAUGAGUUAAAAUGUACAUUUGCAUCAUGAGACUAGGUUAACUGUCACCUGAGAAAGUCCUAUAUUCAGAAAGACUUAAUCCUGGACCAGGUAAAUGAGGCAUUUGCUGUAUGUUCUUUGUUAUGAAUUUAAUGCUACAAAGAGAAAAUGGGCAUUGAUGCAUAAUCUGGGUAAAAAAGAGAUGUCAGAAGUUGGGAAAGAACUGCCAGAAGAGCUAUGUUUUAGGAUUUCACUCCACCUUACCCUGUGUUUUCUUGUAAAGAUAUUCUCAAAAUUAGGCCAAUUUCACUCUUUUAAGGUCAGAGGAGAUUAAGAUAUUUAGAAAUCAGAUUGUGGGAUUGAUUCCCAUUGUGAUUGCUGACUUUUAGUAUCAGCCUUUUGUUCUGCAUGGAUUCUCUCAUCUUGCAAACUAGCAAGACUCCUGAAUUUGGCAAUGAUCCUGCUCUGUGAAGCAUUCUCAAGUUAGGGUUCUUAUCAAUGUCAGAUUUCACUAAGCCAGUAAUAAAGGAAAGGUUGAGAGAGCAAAGGAUGUCACUGAGUUGACACCUAACAGCACAAAACAACUUGUCAGCUGGCAGGACAAGCCAGCAUGUUCAGGGUGGUCACAGCCUUUGAGUUGGAAAGAUAGUCUUUUAAACAUUCUUACCUCACCAAAUAACUUUAAUAGAUAAAAUUUAGUUACUCCCUCCCACUUUUGUUCUAUUCAUUUAAAGCAGUGUUUUUUAAAAAUUUAUGUAUAUGUGACUACAUGAAAAAUACAUUACUGUGUUUCUUGAUGUUUUAUGACCUGUACACAAAGUGAGACCAGCAGAUGCCUUCAAGAGAAAUAAAGGACACUGCUGUCAUUCUAACUAAAUUGUCCAGAGGAGGAAAGAAGAGUACAAAAAUGAUUAUGAAUACUUAAGAAGAGGCAUGACUUUGUCAUUGGUGUGGAGCCUAUAAUUAUGUGCAAUUCCCUACUUAAGACUUUUUAGUUAUGCUGAACAUUGAAAAAAAACUAAACAGCGGAGAGGAGAAAAGAAAAGGGGAAAUUUAAACAUUUAAUGGAACACAUUCAUUAAAUGGAGACAUCGCUUCACCAUAAGGGGGCAGUUAAGGGUUUGGUAGUCCUACUCACUUGCUAUUGUCAAAUCAUUUGUUUUAUCAUGGAUUUGAGAUCCUUAUAAGUCUUCAUUAUUAUUUUGAAUUCAAGAAUGAUUCCUUCUGCUCACAAAACAUGAUCACUUUUCAUUGAUUUUUUUUUUUAAUAUUCUGACUGGUUUUGCAUAUCUGGAAAAGAUAAAUCUUCAAAAUUUGGAAAUAAAUAUUUUUCCUCCCUGCCAAA